rnacentral:piRNA from 1 species
UGUCACAGCGGUGGAUGUGGUGAUUAGGA